rnacentral:rRNA from 1 species
CCUGUCUCCUAAUCGAUACUCCACGCUAAACCUUCCCCCCUCUAGCACCAACUCAGCCUAUAUACCGCCGUCGCCAGCUCGCCUAAUGAUAGACAACAAAGCAAGCAAAAUAGUCUACCACACUAACACGUCAGGUCAAGGUGUAGCUAAUGAAGGGGUCAAAGAUGGGCUACAUUUUCUCACCCCUAGAAAACUACUACAGGCUAUAUGAAAUCUGAGCCACCCGGCGGAUUUAGCAGUAAAUCCUGGCAAGACAUGCCCGAUUGAAACUUGCCCUGGGACGCGUACACACCGCCCGUCACCCUCUUCAACUAGCCCCUAAACCCCUACUAACAUAUAACCCCUUCGCAUUUUAGACGAGGCAAGUCGUAACAUGGUAAGCCUACCGGAAGGUGGGCUUGGCCCAAAC